UACGUAGGUGGCAAGCGUUUGUCCGGAUUUACUGGGCGUAAAGGGCGCGUAGGCGGUCAGCACAAGUCAGUUGUGAAAUCUCCGGGCUUAACUCGGAAAGGUCAACUGAUACUGUGCGACUAGAGUGCAGAAGGGGGCAACUGGAAUUCCCGGUGUAGUGGUGGAAUGCGUAGAUAUCGGGAGGAACACCGGUGGCGAAGGCGGUUCUCUGGGCCUGUACUGACGCUGAGGAGCGAAAGCGUGGGGGAGCGAACAGG
rnacentral:rRNA from 1 species